rnacentral:rRNA from 1 species
GAGUUUCCCUUAGGGCAGAUUGAACGCUGGCGGUAGGCUUAACACAUGCAAGUCGAACGAGAAAGGUCCUUCGGGGCCGAGUAAAGUGGCGGACGGGUGAGUAACGCGUAGGAAUCUACCCAGUAGCGGGGGAUAGCCCGAGGAAACUCGGAUUAAUACCGCAUACGCCCCACGGGGGAAAGGCCGGGAUCUUCGGACCGGUCACUAUUGGAGGAGCCUGCGUUGGAUUAGCUAGUUGGUAGGGUAAAGGCCUACCAAGGCGACGAUCCAUAGCUGGUCUGAGAGGACGAUCAGCCACACUGGAACUGAGACACGGUCCAGACUCCUACGGGAGGCAGCAGUUGGGAAUAUUGUGCAAUGGGGGAAACCCUGACACAGCCAUGCCGCGUGUGUGAAGAAGGCUCUAGGGUUGUAAAGCACUUUCAGUAGGGAGGAAAAAGCCGUAUUAAUUAGCGCUUUGGAUUGACGUUACCUCUGCAGCAAGCGCCGGCUAACUCCGUGCCAGCAGCCGCGGCAAUACGGAGGGCGCGAGCGUUAAUCGGAAUUACUGGGCGUAAAGCGCGCGUAGGCGGUUUGUUAAGUUGGAUGUGAAAGCCCAGGGCUCAACCUUGGAACUGCAUUCAAAACUGGCAGGCUAGAGUUACGGUAGAGGGGGGUAGAAUUCCCUGUGUAGCGGUGAAAUGCGUAGAGUGUGGAGGAAUACCAGUGGCGAAGGCGGCCUCCUGGAUCGAUACUGACGCUAAGGUGCGAAAGCGUGGGGAGCAAACAGGAUUAGAUACCCUGGUAGUCCACGCUGUAAACGAUGUCAACUAGCCGUUGGGGGGGUAAUCCCUUUAGUGGCGCAGCUAACGCUUUAAGUUGACCGCCUGGGGAGUACGGUCGCAAGAUUAAAACUCAAAUGAAUUGACGGGGGCCCGCACAAGCGGUGGAGCAUGUGGUUUAAUUCGACGCAACGCGAAGAACCUUACCUGGUCUUGACAUCCUGCGAACUUUCUAGAGAUAGAUUGGUGCCUUCGGGAACGCAGUGACAGGUGCUGCAUGGCUGUCGUCAGCUCGUGUCGUGAGAUGUUGGGUUAAGUCCCGUAACGAGCGCAACCCUUGUCCUUAGUUGCCAUCAGUAAUGGUGGGAACUCUAGGGAGACUGCCGGUGAUAAACCGGAGGAAGGUGGGGACGACGUCAAGUCAUCAUGCCCCUUACGAGUAGGGCUACACACGUGCUACAAUGGUACAUACAAAGGGUUGCGAAGCCGCGAGGUCGAGCCAAUCCCAAAAAGUGUAUCGUAGUCCGGAUCGGAGUCUGCAACUCGACUCCGUGAAGUCGGAAUCGCUAGUAAUCGUAGAUCAGAAUGCUACGGUGAAUACGUUCCCGGGCCUUGUACACACCGCCCGUCACACCAUGGGAGUGGGCUGCACCAGAAGUAGAUAGCUUAACCUUCGGGAGGGCGUUUACCACGGUGUGGUUCAUGACUGGGGUGAAGUCGUAACAAGGUAACC